CAGUAGCCGCGGUAAUACGUAGGGUGCAAGCGUUAAUCGGAAUUACUGGGCGUAAAGCGUGCGCAGGCGGUUCGUUAAGACAGAUGUGAACUCCCCGGGCUUAACCUGGGAACUGCAUUUGUGACUGGCGGGCUAGAGUAUGGCAGAGGGGGGUAGAAUUCCACGUGUAGCAGUGAAAUGCGUAGAGAUGUGGAGGAAUACCGAUGGCGAAGGCAGCCCCCUGGGCCAAUACUGACGCUCAUGCACGAAAGCGUGGGGAGCAAACAGGAUUAGAUACCCGCGUAGUCCCUGUCUCUUAUAC
rnacentral:rRNA from 1 species